GAAAGGACAAAAUAACUUUGGCAUGGUGGGUUGGUGUUCUGAAAGGAAUUUAAUUUGCGAUCUCAACCUUUUACGUCUAAAUGCGGCGAAAGCAUUGCCUCGCCCAAGGUUCGAUGCGCCGAGCAAAGGAACUGACAUACAUGACAGAGAGCGGUAUUAUACCGGAUUCCAGUUCAAUAUUGGUUUUCAUAUACACCAGUUACGUUCUCCUGUUCAAAAUUGCGAAGAAAAUUGCUCAGGACAUCAAAGUUAGAUAUCUUCUACUCGGUGCUAAUUCAAAAUAGCUGGUGCGUCAUCAGGAUCGCAUCCUGUUUUGGAGUUUCAUGCAGUUUCAAUCGACGAUGACAAUGAUUCUAAAGGAAUGAUUCAAGAGGAUAGCAGGCUUUGGCCAAUUGGCAGUAUUAGAGAACGGUUUCUUCUCUCAGCAUGGCAGUGAAAUAACAAACUUUAUAUAUUUUACGAACAAAAAAUAUCGCUAUCAUUGAACAAACUUCAGCAUUUUCGAUGAACAUCAGUCCAUCUUGUUCACGGAAUGACAUUGGCCCCAAGAUAGAAAGGUCCAAAUCUUGAGUCUUGUCAGUCUGCCUUCUCCAGCAUCUUCACGGGGCAGUGGCAGGCAGAAGUUGGGGUGUCCCACCUUUUUUUCCGGUUCAGCUUAGCCUUGUUCAGUCCUUUGAUGUUGAUGGCCUUCUUGAUCUUGCGAUGGUGGUUACGGGACUCCUGGCUGAUGAUGAGGAUGUUUUCAAUCAUCGGCCAGGUUGUUACUAUAUGCCCCGUUUGCAGUUGGUGCUGACGCAUGCUUAUCACUUUGGACUCGUUUUAAUAUCGUGGUCAAGGUCAUUCCGUUAACAAGAUGAACUGAUAGUCAUCGAUAAUUCGGAGUACUGGUGUCUACAAAUCUUGCACAUCAAUGGACUGCACUGGCGUCUACCAAUCAUCGACACUCGCAUCAUUUUCGUUUGCAAUAACAGAAACAAAAGUGGAACCAUGUCGAAGUUUGUGUAAUUUUUGUUACAAGCAUGCUUUAAUAUGCGUUACAACCAGGAAAGUAGUCCGGAAACGUUAUUUGAAAACGCCCUUGUUUAUCUUUGCCUGCAUCAAAAAUUCGAAAUAAUGUUCGUGACGAAUUAUCUUAAAUCACUCCAUCGCAUGCACUCUCAAGUGUGGUAUGAAGAAGGAAAGCAGACCACAUACAUUGUUGUGAUUUGGUGUGUGAAGAAGUAGCCAUAUUCUCGAAGCUGAUAUUCUCCAACUUGUCUAACACAACUUCCGUAUCAGCGCCGGUUUCAAGGAGAAAAAGCUACGGUUGAAUAUCUUUGAAACAGGUGAAUCAAAUGCACGUCCCGCCGCGUUUCAAAGUGAAAUGCGCAGUUCUAAAUGACUACACGCAGACAAUCGCAAGAACGAAUAUCAUUGAAAGCAGAUUACAUGUUUACUGAUGUCGUGUAAGAAAUCGCUUUGAAACUUCUCGAAGUAAGUUCAUUUUGGGGCAUUUUCUUUGACGCAGUUUCGCAUAUCUUCCAUCGUUUACGGAGAGAAGGAUCGACACUUUGUAUCAUACGUUUUAUGUGGAACGCACCUUCUGGCUGUUCGUCAGGACCGUCUGUUGGAAACGGUACAACAUAAAUCAAGCGGCGGAGCAUCUCACUCCUGUCUGCAUUCAUUGAAAAUUCUCAUACGUAUGGGAAUCCGGAUUUCAUCAACAACUAUAUUGCUUCAUUGUUCCACCAGUGCGUAUAUCAAAACUUCCGUACGCGUUGAUCACUACGUAGUUUGACAAAUUGUUACAGCUGGAUAUAAAACUAAAAAUCAACGAUACGAGAAAAGUGAGAGCUUUUUGGAGCCACUAUACCAUUAUAUGUCAGUUACCCGUACCAUUUUUACUUGUGGGUUAACACCUGCAUUUUCAUCCAGUAGACAUCCAGGGAAAUCGAUAUCACCGAUAUUUGCAAAGGUGUGAUAUAUAUAUUUUUUGUAAAAUAAGAACAUGUCAACUGAACAAAUUAUCUAUAGAUAAGCCGUGAGGACAGUAUUAGUGGCUGCGAGUUCUUUUGAUCAACUUGAAAUUUCCUGCUAAAUUUUGAUAUACGGCAAUCAAGACAAAAUGGAUGGUUUCAUUGAAUCAUCUACACGAAAUCUCUCCAUGGCGUCGACCCUGUUACCGACGAUUCCCAGACCCAUCCGGUGUCUUUACUGGCCCUUCUUCGCAGGCGGCGGGUCGGCGGGUCAUGUCUACUUUGUCAUGACAGUCCCAUUGAUGUUGUCCCUGACCUUCCUCGGACUAGUAGGAAACACCCUAAGUUUCAUCGUUCUUGGCCGAGAGAUGAAAUCAUCCUCGACAUCAGUGUUGCUCCGCGCGCUCGCAAUGGCCGACAACUUCGUCCUCGUAACCUACGCACUUGAGUACAGUUUCCCAAUGAUUUUUCAUUACACUGGCAAGUUUGUAGAUUAUUACGAGAUUUUUCAGUAUAGCCAACAAUAUCUGUGGGCCAUUACGUGGUUCAGCAAGACCAUAGCCGUCUAUGUCGUGGUGUUCAUAACCGCGGAGCGCUUCUUUGCGGUGACGCGCCCGUUGCGAGCUACCACUAUUUGUACUAAGAAAAACGCAAUGUAUGCAAUUUGCGGCGUUUCUUUAUUCUCUUUGAUAUUCAACAUCCCGAAUUUCUUUUAUGUCGAUACUUUUUAUUAUUUUGACAGAUGUUCUCAAAGUCUGAAGCCUUAUGCGCGGGUUUCUACGUUUACUCGCGAACAUCCUCUUUUUGAAUGGGUAUACGCCGUUGGCUUAACGUACACUUUUCUCUUUAUUAUUCCAGUCGGGGUUAUGACGGUUAUGAAUUAUUUUUUAAUCAAAUCAGUUAAAGUGGCUGCAAGGGGAAAUAUUGGCAACCAAGAUGGCCGCCAGAGAGAAGCGGUCGCCAUUACGCUUCGCGUUGUUGCAGUCGUUACAGUAUUCAUAUUUCUGGAGCUGCCGCCGUUCGUGACAAAUGUGACGUACGUUGUUGCGGCAUGGUCCGGGAAGUCUCAAGAGUGGGGCAUCGAUAUGCACGUGUUAUCCGUGGUCGUGAAUUCCUCCUACGUGUUGUCCACAGUUAAUUCGUUUAUCAAUUUUUACAUCUAUAUCAUGACGGGUUCUGGAUUUAGAAGAAUGGUAUUUAGAAUAAUCACAUGCAGUGGACUAACGAAUAAAACACAUGAGAGAAUCUAACAAAAACCAACAUAUUAAAACCAAUUUAAAAGUACAUUGUACAUUGACUCAUUAAUCCAAAUUAGAUUUUUCAAUGAUAUGAGAUCUCACGUUGAAUAGAGACUGUCAAAUACCCAAAUAAAAAACAGUGCAGUGAUUCAGGUGGCAGACGGCGCAUUGUAAAUGGUUUCGCCUGCUUUUGUUUUCAGGCAACAUGAUUGAAUCGAGAGAAGUUUGUUACUACGAUACCAUCCCAGUCCGCCGUGGCCAAACAAAUUACCGUGGGCAUUCUGCAACGUGAGCCACCAAUGGACGUGUCAAAUAAUCCUUAAUAAAGUAACAGAAAAACAACGUUAAAUAAAUGAACAAUGAAAAGGAAAAAAGCGCGUUUGGUUUCAAAAUGUAGGACCAGUUCUCAUAUUUACAAUUUACACUUGGAUUUUCAUUAAAACUACCCUAUAUUAAUGUUGACGUAAUGUCCCGUCGCUUUAAUCCAUUCAGAAUUUCAAUCCGUCCUCGGCUGCUCCAGAAUAUUAUGCCAUGAUAUGGCACAUCACGAUGACGUACCAGCAAGCUUGUGCUACACGUCCAAAUCAUGACUUUUGGGUUUUGGUCGAACCCUUACCAAGUCAUGCACAUCACAUGGCAACAUUUCCUGUACUGUAACCUUUUGUGGAGCGGUUGUGACCGCAUUGAAUUUAUAAAUGGAUUAACAUGGUUGGACAUGAUUUACAUAUUCAUUAGUGUUUGGUUUAGUGAAAAUCCAAACGCGAUGACAAAAUCUUGGAGCAAACUAUCAUACAGUGUUCUUUUUCCGGCAAUCUUCCUGCAUGACUUUGCUAAAAACUGAUUUGGGAAAUCGACUUCAUCAAAAACCAUUAUUUUUCAUCCUACCUAAAAAAUUCAGGCCUAAAUACACAAUCCAAAAUGCAGAAUUCAGGCCCAAAUACACGAGCAUAAAUACAGAAAGCCAGCUAAGAGCCUAAAUUAUGGAGCAGAGUGAACUCUCUGUAAAGUGAUCAUCUUUGUUCGGAACGAUGCAUUGGCAAGACUCUGCCGGAAGCAAAGAACAACAUCAUUCCAAGUUGUAUCCCAAUAAUACGCUCUCGAGUAUGAAUGAAAGUCAGUGUUGAUUCCUGAUUCUUGGGGACCGACACUUUGAAAGAUUUGUAUUUGGCAUCCUUGAGACAAACAUUUCACAUCAAGUACCGUAAACUCCAUUUCCACCAAAAAUUUCUCCAGGUCGUCAUGAUCACAAGUGGUGUCCUUUUCUAACCUGAACACGAAGAUGUCUCUGCCAGGGUCAGGAGCUCCCGUACUUUUCUCAGAUUGGCCAGCAACUACUCGACGUUUCUGUCUCGCAUUCUUUUCCUUUUUUUGCUCUUCACUACUUUCAACACUGUGAAUAGUGUCCAAAGCCGUGUUGCCGCCCCUCAAUCUAAGAACAGUGGGAGGUAACAGUAGAUUGGACCUCGCAUAUAGUAACUCGAACGCCAAUAAGAAGAAGAAGAUAACACAGACUUCAUCAAAUGAUAUAAUUCACCUUGGAACACCAAAGGCAAAACCUGUG